CGCUUCCCAUGAAUCACUCUAUUCCUAGGUUUCCUAGAUUGCACUCAUAGCCUGGGUAUUGGGCCUUUUACCUCGAGUAACUCCCACCCCCAAUCAGAGAAAACACAGCCAGCACAACAGAUGAAAUGAAUGAAUGCAAACAUUAAUGCACACAUUGAAUGCAAACAGUAAAUGAAAUGAAUGCAAUAGAUAAAGCAGCAUAUAGCAACCAAAGCCCUAACCUAGAGAACGCUAGGAGAGACUCGCUUAGGGAAGAAGGACCAGCACAGGUCAACUUCUCUAGAUNNN
rnacentral:lncRNA from 1 species